ensembl:lncRNA
AGCAAGGUGAUGCAGCCUUGCAGCGUGCUCGGGGGUGAUAGACAGCAUGUCGAGGGAAGGCUGGGGGGACACAGUUCAGGUUCUGCUCAGCAUCCUGUGGACUGAAUCCUCUUCUAAAUGAACAGACCAUCUCUAGAUGGUGUCAUUUAUUUUAUCACAAGCUUCCCAAAUAAACCAGUUCCCAGAGGAACCUCAUGUUAUUAAAGAGCUGAGAACAGAUGUGAUGACACAUUUGCCUGUGUGGCUUCUUGCAGAUGGCACGGAAAUUUUGUGAUCAAAUGAUCGCUGUUGGGACAGAGAUAUUUGGUGAGCUUCUCCCCAUCUUCCAUCAUGUAACGUAACCAUGAGAAUGGAGACACUCUUGGUGUGAGCGUGUAUGGGAAACUGUGCUGGAAGCAACCAAUAGUCUGGGCUAGGCAGAAGGGAGGGGAAAUCCUUUGCUAUGAGGAGCUCGUACCCAGCUCAAAUCCCUCACAGGCUGCCACCGGCACAGCAGUCAGACCUCCUGCCAAUCCCCCUGCACUCUCAAGAGACUGAUUAAAAGAAGAGAUCAAUGUAUGGCUCUGCAGCAAUUUCACACUCAGAGAAAAUUCCUUUUGCCUCUUGAUAUAAUUAAAACAACUGACACUUUUCUAUGUUAAUAAGUUACUUUAUUCCUUG